rnacentral:rRNA from 1 species
GGGAGGUAGUGACAAUAAAUAACAAUACGGGGUCCUUUCGGGUUUCGUAAUUGGAAUGAGUACAAUUUAAAUCUCUUAACGAGGAACAAUUGGAGGGCAAGUCUGGUGCCAGCAGCCGCGGUAAUUCCAGCUCCAAUAGCGUAUAUUAAAGUUGUUGCAGUUAAAAAGCUCGUAGUUGAAUUUCGGGAUUAGUACGUUGGUCGUGCUUUCGGGUACGUACUGGUGUUACUGAUUCCUCCCUUCUGACGAACUAUCAUGCCAUUUACUUGGUGUGGUGGGAAAUCAGAACUGUUACUUUGAAAAAUUAGAGUGUUUAAAGCAGGCUCACGCUUGAAUACAUUAGCAUGGAAUAAUGAAAUAGGACGUUGAUCUUAUUUUGUUGGUUUCUAGGAUUGACGUAAUGAUUAAUAGGGAUAGUUGGG